rnacentral:rRNA from 1 species
GACGAACGCUGGCGGCGUGCCUAAUACAUGCAAGUCGUGCGGACCUUUUAAAAGCUUGCUUUUAAAAGGUUAGCGGCGGACGGGUGAGUAACACGUGGGCAACCUGCCUGUAAGACUGGGAUAACGCCGGGAAACCGGGGCUAAUACCGGAUCGUUUUUCCUCCGCAUGGAGGAAAAAGGAAAGGCGGCUUCGGCUGCCACUUACAGAUGGGCCCGCGGCGCAUUAGCUAGUUGGCGGGGUAACGGCCCACCAAGGCAACGAUGCGUAGCCGACCUGAGAGGGGGAUCGGCAAAAUUGGGACUGAGACACGGCCCAAAACCCUACGGGAGGCAGCAGUAGGGAAUCUUCCGCAAUGGACGAAAGUAUGACGGAGCAACGCCGCGUGAGUGAAGAAGGCCUUCGGGUCGUAAAACUCUGUUGCCGGGGAAGAACAAGUGCCGUUCGAAAAGGGCGGCGCCUUGACGGUACCCGGCCAGAAAGCCACGGCUAACUACG